rnacentral:misc_RNA from 1 species
UCCGGUUUAUCACCGGCAGUCUCUCUAGAGUCCCCACCUUUACGUGCUGGUAACUAAAGAUAAGGGUUGCGCUCGUUACGGGACUUAACCCAACAUCUCACAACACGAGCUGACGACAGCCAUGCAGCACCUGUCUCUACAUUCCCGAAGGCACUCCCAUAUCUCUAUGGGAUUUGUAGGAUGUCAAGGGUAGGUAAGGUUCUUCGCGUUGCAUCGAAUUAAACCACAUGCUCCACCGCUUGUGCGGGCCCCCGUCAAUUCCUUUGAGUUUUAACCUUGCGGUCGUACUCCCCAGGCGGAGAACUUAGCGCGUUAGCUACGCCACUAAAAGGGUUUCCCCUUCCAACAGCUAGUUCUCAUCGUUUACAGCGUGGACUAC